UUGGAAGUGGAGAUGCCUCACUUAGCAAAAUUACAGUUGGUAUAAACGCUGGUAGAAAUACUCGAAGGAAUUUUUCACAGCAAACGGUAAGUUAAUUUUUGUUAUUUCAAUCGAUAUUUAUGUUUAUAAUUUGUGAAUCUGUCAUGUCAUUGCUAUUCAUGUCUGCUAUAGUCUGGACUUUGCUUUUAGUCAAAGAUAUUUUGAUCACGCUUCAUAUAAAGCUUUAUAGUGAGUUUAUAAUACUGUUUAUAAUCAAAUGUGCUUGCACAGAUCUUGAAUUUUAAUAUAUCAUUAUGUGGGUAAAUUAAGAAGCAAGCCCAUUGCUGUUAUAUUAUACUACAACUGCCCUAUCAACUUGCUGCAGGUAUAUUUUAUAUCACUAUAGUCUUUAAAUUAAUGGUCACUGGCAUCGCACCGACUGCAAAUUAACGGGUGCUAUUAUUGAGAUCUAUUGCCGAUUCAAGGAUUGUUUCCCACCACAUGCAAUUUCACACACAGUGCAAUGGAAGCUCAGUCUGUUUAUGUACAGUUGAAUAUUAAUCUUCUAGAUGGAAAUAAUUGAGUGAAAAUGUAUUUACAUUCAUUAUAAGACCUAACCAGGAACAGCUGCGAAAAAUGCAACUGUUAGGUGCAGUUUAUUUUUGGAUAUCCAGUCCAGAUGUAAAUAAUAUCUGAUCUAUAAAGAUCAGCAGGGACAUAGCGACAGGGAGUGUGGGGUGUAAACCCCACAAAAUCAAGUAUAAAUCUUGACAUUUUCAGGUUAAAUUUGCAUAAUAAAGUUGGUAUUUUUGUGAAAUGAUAACCAUUUUUGAUACAGUCAAUUUAAAUCCAAUUUGUUUGUAAAUGUGGUUUAGAAAACUCCAGAAAUUCAGUUCUGGAGCUUCAAAAAUGUAAACAUUUUCUGAAGGAGGACCCCCACACCCCUUUUUCUUAGGGAACUUAGCAUGACAGUGGAAUUAUUACACUUCAGGUAGAUUUUUAACAUUGAAGUUCAGAUUUCAGGUAAAAUUCUCAGGCACCCCCACCCCUCCCCCAAUGACAGAUGCUUUGCUACGUUCAUGAAAAUCAGUGCAAUCACUAUACAACACUGACCCUAAUCCGUUGUUUUAUAUUUUGUAAAUUUUGCUUCCUAAGGGUUUUCUUAUUUUUAAUAUUUAGGAGCGCUAUUUCAAUUUCCAUCGUAGUAAAUGUAAAAUGUCGGAGUUAUACCAUUUCAGCGCUAGCCUGCAUCCCAGUGACCCAGUCCACUUCACCGUAGUGCGUUUAUUAUUUUACAUUGUAAAUAAUAUUGAAAAUACCAACCUUAAAAAAUAAUGAAAUGACUAUGUUUUGAUUUUGGAUUUAUAUAUUUAAGUCCUGGUCUAUAAAUCAGUCCCUCUGCCUCAUAGUAAAAGAUAAAACAAAAUUAUAAAAUGAAUUUUAAUAAUUUUAAUCUUACCUUUCAAAUGUCCUUACAUCACGUAAUGCUGAAAGCUCAAAAGGUUUAUACUUCAAUAGCAAUGUUUCACAGUAAUUUGCUUUAUUUGUACAUGUUUAUAUUAUUUGAUUAAAAUAUUACACCCCCUGAAAUAGUAAUAAGCAAAUACUAUUCCAGGGGGGGAGUUGGACGAACUGUAUUUUGUGCUGUUCAAGUUAAUGAUAUGUCGGGGCCGUCGGAAAAUGGUCAGAACAUAAAAAAAUGAUUUUUUGACACUUGAGUAUCGCUAAAGUUAUUGGUAAAUUACUGAAAAGUAGAAAAGUUGUUAAGGCCUAAGGCUUAUAAUCAUAGUCUGGAUGUCUUCCUAAAAAUUUAAUUAAUAACAAGAGGCAUUCAACAUUAGCAGAUUUGAUAACGAAGUCAUUAUUUGUCAUACCAAUUGCUGAAACCUUGAUGUGUAAAAUUGUGUUUCAUUUACCAGAGAAUAGUUUGAACCCUAAGUUCUCAGGGCUGUAGACACUGUGGGUUGUGCUGGAGGACUUCAUCCAAUUACCCCCCCCAAUAAUUUGUAAACUGGUAAUAAUCUGUAAAGUUUAAGAGGGAAAUAAUGAACUGGUGAUCGCCACUGACAAAUCAGCCCCUCCCGCAAUACAAAAUUGCUUCGUACAGUAGUAGUUCUAUCUCAAAAUCCUUGUUGGGAUUCUGUUGUUUCGCAUUAUACACUAUACUCUACUUUCAAUCAGCUUUGAAGUUUGCAUUUAAGUUUUGCAAUCAAUUGUUGAUUGCUCUAAGUUACUAAGAUGGUGGUAGCAACACAUUUUUCGUAACUAAUGACUAACAUAUAAUGUCAUGCACACUUUGUAAUUAUAGAUUUAUUCUCCCAUUAGAUUUACACAGGUGCUUAUCAGCCUCCCACUACACAAGGGAUAUGUUUAGAUGACAAUUUCCUUGCUGCUUUCAUUGGUUCCUGGUGUUUUUGUGGCUGUCCUUCUGAUCAACUGCAAGUAUUACCCAUUCUUGGUAAAGUGGUGAAAGAAAAUGAAUUUUCAAUGCACUUUUGGAAAGGCUCUUAUGCAAAAUCUUAUGAAUCCUAUAUGGCAAAAUCUGGUAGGGACACCACACCAUGGAUAUAUAUAGACAUCGAUCUUGCCCAAAGAAUCAAUUAUGAUAAGAGAGUUCCACCUUGAUGAUCAGAGCAAACUGCAAAAAAAAUACCAAUAGUAUUUGAAAUAUUGAACCCUCUAUACACUACAUAUAUGAAUGUUUAUCUGUC